rnacentral:rRNA from 1 species
CCUACGGGAGGCUGCAGUGGGGAAUAUUGCACAAUGGGGGAAACCCUGAUGCAGCGACGCCGCGUGAGUGAAGAAGUAUUUCGGUAUGUAAAGCUCUAUCAGCAGGGAAGAAGCAAGACGGUACCUGACUAAGAAGCCCCGGCUAACUACGUGCCAGCAGCCGCGGUAAUACGUAGGGGGCAAGCGUUAUCCGGAUUUACUGGGUGUAAAGGGAGCGUAGACGGUAUGGCAAGUCUGAAGUGAAAGCCCAGGGCUUAACCCUGGGACUGCUUUGGAAACUGUUAGACCAGAGUGCUGGAGAGGUAAGUGGAAUGCCUAGUGUAGCGGUGAAAUGCGUAGAUAUAUGGAAGAACACCAGUGGCGAAAGCGGCUCUCUGGUCUGUAACUGACGCUGAGGUUCGAAAGCGUGGGUAGCAAACAGGAUUAGAUACCCCUGUAGUC